rnacentral:rRNA from 1 species
UACAGAGGUCUCAAGCGUUGUUCGGAUUCAUUGGGCGUAAAGGGUGCGUAGGCGGCGCGGUAAGUCGGGUGUGAAAUCUCGGAGCUUAACUCAGAAACUGCCGUGGAUACUAUUUGCCUUGAAUAUUGUGGAGGUGAGCGGAAUAUGUCAUGUAGCGGUGAAAUGCUUAGAUAUGACAUAGAACACCAAUUGCGAAGGCAGCUCACUACACAAUCAUUGACGCUGAGGCACGAAAGCGUGGGGAUCAAACAGG